AGUGAACGCUGGCGGUAGGCCUAACACAUGCAAGUCGAACGGCAGCACAGUAAGAGCUUGCUCUUACGGGUGGCGAGUGGCGGACGGGUGAGGAAUACAUCGGAAUCUACUUUUUCGUGGGGGAUAACGUAGGGAAACUUACGCUAAUACCGCAUACGACCUACGGGUGAAAGCAGGGGAUCUUCGGACCUUGCGCGAUUGAAUGAGCCGAUGUCGGAUUAGCUAGUUGGCGGGGUAAAGGCCCACCAAGGCGACGAUCCGUAGCUGGUCUGAGAGGAUGAUCAGCCACACUGGAACUGAGACACGGUCCAGACUCCUACGGGAGGCAGCAGUGGGGAAUAUUAAACAAUGGGCGCAAGCCUGAUCCAGCCAUACCGCGUGGGUGAAGAAGGCCUUCGGGUUGUAAAGCCCUUUUGUUGGGAAAGAAAAGCAGCAGGUUAAUACCCGGCUGUUCUGACGGUACCCAAAGAAUAAGCACCGGCUAACUUCGUG
rnacentral:rRNA from 1 species